rnacentral:rRNA from 1 species
UUUAUGGAGAGUUUGAUCCUGGCUCAGGAUGAACGCUAGCGGCGUGCCUAAUACAUGCAAGUCGAGCGAACGGACGAGAAGCUUGCUUCUCUGAUGUUAGCGGCGGACGGGUGAGUAACACGUGGAUAACCUACCUAUAAGACUGGGAUAACUUCGGGAAACCGGAGCUAAUACCGGAUAAUAUUUUGAACCGCAUGGUUCAAAAGUGAAAGACGGUCUUGCUGUCACUUAUAGAUGGAUCCGCGCUGCAUUAGCUAGUUGGUAAGGUAACGGCUUACCAAGGCAACGAUGCAUAGCCGACCUGAGAGGGUGAUCGGCCACACUGGAACUGAGACACGGUCCAGACUCCUACGGGAGGCAGCAGUAGGGAAUCUUCCGCAAUGGGCGAAAGCCUGACGGAGCAACGCCGCGUGAGUGAUGAAGGUCUUCGGAU